CCUACGGGUGGUAGCAGUGGGGAAUAUUGCACAAUGGGCGCAAGCCUGAUGCAGCCAUGCCGCGUGUGUGAAGAAGGCCUUCGGGUUGUAAAGCACUUUCAGCGGGGAGGAAGGCGGUGAGGUUAAUAACCUCAUCGAUUGACGUUACCCGCAGAAGAAGCACCGGCUAACCCCGUGCCAGCAGCCGCGGUAAUACGGAGGGUGCAAGCGUUAAUCGGAAUUACUGGGCGUAAAGCGCACGCAGGCGGUCUGUCAAGUCGGAUGUGAAAUCCCCGGGCUCAACCUGGGAACUGCAUUCGAAACUGGCAGGCUAGAGUCUUGUAGAGGGGGGUAGAAUUCCAGGUGUAGCGGUGAAAUGCGUAGAGAUCUGGAGGAAUACCGGUGGCGAAGGCGGCCCCCUGGACAAAGACUGACGCUCAGGUGCGAAAGCGUGGGGAGCAAACAGGAUUAGAUACCCGAGUAGUC
rnacentral:rRNA from 1 species